GAAAUGCGAUAAGUAGUGUGAAUUGCAGAAUUCAGUGAAUCAUCGAAUCUUUGAACGCACAUUGCGCCCUUUGGUAUUCCAAAGGGCAUGCCUGUUCGAGCGUCAUUUGUACCCCAAGCUUUGCUUGGUGUUGGGCGUCUUGUCUCUAGCUUUGCUGGAGACUCGCCUUAAAGUAAUUGGCAGCCGGCCUACUGGUUUCGGAGCGCAGCACAAGUCGCACUCUCUAUCAGCAAAGGUCUAGCAUCCAUUAAGCCUUUUUUCAACUUUUGACCUCGGAUCAGGUAGGGAUACCCGCUGAACUUAAGC
rnacentral:misc_RNA from 1 species